UACGUAGGCAGCAAGCGUUGUCCGGAAUUAUUGGGCGUAAAGAGCUCGUAGGCGGUCUGUUGCGUCCGCUGUGAAAUCUCGGGGCUUAACCCCGAGCCUGCAGUGGAUACGGGCAGACUAGAGGUAGGUAGGGGAGAAUGGAAUUUCCGGUGUAGCGGUGAAAUGCGUAGAUAUCGGAAGGAACACCAGUGGCGAAAGCGGCUUCCUGGUCCAGCACCGACGUUCAGGCACGAAAGCGUGGGGAGCAAACAGG
rnacentral:rRNA from 1 species